rnacentral:rRNA from 1 species
UUGUUUACUCUCUCUUCUCUGUGCCAUCCUAUAACCCAGGAGCUAGCAGCAAUGGUGAACGAUGGUGCCAAGACAAGCAUUAUUGAGAGCCCACCAUGUUUUUCGACAAGCUUUGUGCAAGUUGGAUGAUGGAGAGGGACACAAAGUAUGUCAAUUACUGGAUCUUUUGCUCUUUCAGUGUCCCCAUAUGCUUCUCGCGUGUGGAAUCUUGAAAAGGAAUCAGUAUUGGCAUUGCAUGGUACCAAUAAGUCUAAAAUCAUGUGUCGUGGUCUCUUUUGA